rnacentral:rRNA from 1 species
AACGAACGCUGGCGGCAUGCCUAACACAUGCAAGUCGAACGAGAUCUUCGGGUCUAGUGGCGCACGGGUGCGUAACGCGUGGGAAUCUGCCCUUUGGUUCGGAAUAACAGUUGGAAACGACUGCUAAUACCGGAUGAUGACGAAAGUCCAAAGAUUUAUCGCCAGAGGAUGAGCCCGCGUAGGAUUAGCUAGUUGGUGUGGUAAAGGCGCACCAAGGCGACGAUCCUUAGCUGGUCUGAGAGGAUGAUUAGCCACACUGGGACUGAGACACGGCCCAGACUCCUACGGGAGGCAGCAGUGGGGAAUAUUGGACAAUGGGCGAAAGCCUGAUCCAGCAAUGCCGCGUGAGUGAUGAAGGCCUUAGGGUUGUAAAGCUCUUUUACCCGGGAUGAUAAUGACAGUACCGGGAGAAUAAGCUCCGGCUAACCCCGUGCCAGCAGCCGCCGUAA